rnacentral:lncRNA from 1 species
UGUAUUCGAAGCGGAAGAAGAUGAUGCUUGAAGGGAUCCCUGACGGUAUUUCCCGACUUCUUGAGCAAGAAAAGAAGAUCAUUCAGCUGCAUCUCGAGAAUCAGCAGAACAGCCAACUGGGGCAUUAUCAAAAAAAAAAAGAAAAAAAGAAAGAGGGUGCAAAAUCAAAAGAAAUCAAAAGAAAGAAAAAGAAAGAAAAAACAAAAGAGAAAUAGCACCCUCAAAGUCCCAAGUUGACUGAUGCUGAAUCCGGCUGAAAGAAAGAAGAGAUCA